rnacentral:rRNA from 1 species
CCUACGGGGGGCAGCAGUGAGGAAUAUUGGUCAAUGGACGAGAGUCUGAACCAGCCAAGUAGCGUGAAGGAUGACUGCCCUAUGGGUUGUAAACUUCUUUUAUAAAGGAAUAAAACGAGGCACGUGUGCCUUUUUGCAUGUACUUUAUGAAUAAGGAUCGGCUAACUCCGUGCCAGCAGCCGCGGUAAUACGGCGGAUCCGAGCGUUAUCCGGAUUUAUUGGGUUUAAAGGGAGCGUAGAUGGGUUGUUAAGUCAGUUGUGAAAGUUUGCGGCUCAACCGUAAAAUUGCAAUUGAUACUGGCAGUCGUGAGUACAGUUGAGGUAAGCGGAAUUCGUGGUGUAGCGGUGAAAUGCUUAGAUAUCACGAAGAACCCCGAUUGCGAAGGCAGCUUACUAAACUGUGACUGACAUUGAUGCUCGAAAGUGUGGGUAUCAAACAGGAUUAGAUACCCCAGUAGUC